UACGUAGGGGGCAAGCGUUGUCCGGAUUCAUUGGGCGUAAAGCGCGUGUAGGCGGCCAGGUAGGUCCGAUGUGAAAUCUGGAGGCUCAACCUCCAGCGGUCAUUGGAAACCAUCUGGCUAGAGUCCGGAAGAGGAGAGUGGAAUUCCUGGUGUAGCGGUGAAAUGCGCAGAUAUCAGGAAGAACACCAAUGGCGAAGGCAGCUCUCUGGGACGGUACUGACGCUGAGACGCGAAAGCGUGGGGAGCGAACAGG
rnacentral:rRNA from 1 species